CGGGGCAUAGCUCAAUUGGUAGAGCAGCGCACUUUGAAUGCGCAGGUUGAAGGUUCGAAUCCUUCUGCCCUUGCCA
rnacentral:tRNA from 1 species